rnacentral:tmRNA from 2 species
GGCCGUUGCAUGCACCUCGGAACCGCUUAUAUUCAAAGACGCCGGUAGCUCCGGCUAUGGCGAUAAACGCCGUUCAGAAUAAGCGUUACGGACCCGGGGGCAGAGCCCGGCGCCUCCACCAUCCUUGACUGAGGCCGAGGUGAUUGCUCGGCUGGGACCGAGGGGGCGAAUUAGGAUCGACGUGCGUGGUAAAGGGACGGCUUUUGCCCGGCAUGGUUCCGCCGUUAUCGGGCCGAAUACAAGUGCCAACGAUAACCGUUCGGUCACCGCUCUCGCUGCCUAAUCAGCAGUGAAAAGCGCGGCUCGGGGGGCGCCGGGCAACAGAAGCCCCCCACU